rnacentral:rRNA from 1 species
UACGUAGGGACCGAGCGUUGUCCGGAUUCAUUGGGCGUAAAGAGCUCGUAGGCGGCCACUCAAGUCGAAUGUGAAACCUCGAGGCUUAACCUCGAGCCUGCAUUCGAUACUGGGCGGCUAGAGUCUGGUAGGGGGGAUCUGGAAUUCCUGGUGUAGCGGUGGAAUGCGCAGAUAUCAGGAGGAACACCGGUGGCGAAGGCGGGAUCCUGGGCCAGUACUGACGCUGAGGAGCGAAAGCGUGGGGAGCGAACAGG